CAGGUCCAUUAACCACCGCCUCUACCUCCAUCAUUGGUAUCAUUCAAGAAGCUGACACUGCUGGUCUACCUGUGCCUAAUGAAGUGGAGAGCAGUACAAUCGUGCUUACUACCACACCUGGCUCUCCAGUUUCUACUCCGCCAGUGGUUCCAGCUGACUGGCCAUCAGUUACCCGUUGAUGGGUCUAAAGAAGAAAAGAAUGCACAGGUUAGAUCUACAAAAGGUUUGCUCUUAAUCUUCCUGGGAAUCUUCAAAAAUGUGGAUGUGGCGGACAGUGCCCCCCUUACAUAUCCUGGAGUCUCUUAUUGCUCAUUGCAGCAGGAGGGAGAGACAAGAACUGAAUCUGCAGAACGGCAUCACAACACAAUGCAAUUCAACAGUUUAAAAAUUUAAAUGUAUUUAAUAAAUGCAUGAGGGCUGCACCUGUGGCCACUUUGGAAUUAAACUGAAGUAAUAUUUA